rnacentral:rRNA from 1 species
UGCGGAGGGGGCUAGCGUUGUUCGGAAUUACUGGGCGUAAAGCGCACGUAGGCGGCUUUGUAAGUUAGAGGUGAAAGCCCGGAGCUCAACUCCGGAAUUGCCUUUAAGACUGCAUCGCUUGAACAUCGGAGAGGUAAGUGGAAUUCCGAGUGUAGAGGUGAAAUUCGUAGAUAUUCGGAAGAACACCAGUGGCGAAGGCGACUUACUGGACGAUUGUUGACGCUGAGGUGCGAAAGCGUGGGGAGCAAACAGG